rnacentral:tRNA from 2 species
CGGGUGUAGCUCAAUGGCAGAGUGGCAGCCUUCCAAGCUGUUUACGAGGGUUCGAUUCCCUUCACCC